rnacentral:misc_RNA from 1 species
AAGUCGUAACAAGGUUUCCGUAGGUGAACCUGCGGAAGGAUCAUUAACAAUUCUAUUCCAAAUUUACACUUUGUGAACUGACCUCUGGCUGGGUUGCGGUCGCUUAAACGUCCCGCAGAGGUAAUACGUACGUAAGUGUUGCUCUCUGAGCUCACUCACUACAUUGACUAUUUUGUUUGACUAUAUGCGUAUAUCGUGGGUAACAAAUACAACUUUUAACAGUGGAUCUCUUGGCUCCU